AGUGAACGCUGGCGGUAGGCCUAACACAUGCAAGUCGAACGGCGGCACAGUAAGAGCUUGCUCUUACGGGUGGCGAGUGGCGGACGGGUGAGGAAUACAUCGGAAUCUACUUUUUCGUGGGGGAUAACGUAGGGAAACUUACGCUAAUACCGCAUACGACCUACGGGUGAAAGCAGGGGAUCUUCGGACCUUGCGCGAUUGAAUGAGCCGAUGUCGGAUUAGCUAGUUGGCGGGGUAAAGGCCCACCAAGGCGACGAUCCGUAGCUGGUCUGAGAGGAUGAUCAGCCACACUGGAACUGAGACACGGUCCAGACUCCUACGGGAGGCAGCAGUGGGGAAUAUUGGACAAUGGGCGCAAGCCUGAUCCAGCCAUACCGCGUGGGUGAAGAAGGCCUUCGGGUUGUAAAGCCCUUUUGUUGGGAAAGAAAAGCAGCAGGUUAAUACCCCGCUGUUCUGACGGUACCCAAAGAAUAAGCACCGGCUAACUUCGU
rnacentral:rRNA from 1 species